UCUGCCUUGAGAAUGUCGCUUUUGUGGACUGGUGGGAAUUGAAAUUUAGAAAACAAGGUGUGGUUACUGCGCUCCUUACCCAGGCCAGCGGGAGGGAGAGAAAACCAUCACUGAACGAAAGUAAAAUGUCUCUCCUGUCACCUGCCACCCUCUGUCACCAGACCCUGCCCCGGGUGGAAAGGGCAGGAAUCGGUGGGGAAUCUCACGAACCGAGUGACAGGUGGGGUUUGGACAUCUGCUCUCUUGUCAUCGGGGGCUCAGAGCAGCCCCCCCUGCUGUCGAUCUGAGGAGCUCUCGGACCUAUUGGCUUCUCGUUGCAGGAGAGCACUCAGGACUGCCAGCUCACGCUCCAGCAUGCAAAAUCAAUGCUCCUGUUUCCUUUGAAAGCCGAUGGCUUGGGGCUGUAAUGGUUAAUCAGAUCAGUAAACUCUGUUCAGCCCUAGUGCCAACACACUGCUCUCCGCCUCUCUCUUGCGCUGCUAACGGCACUGCUGUUCUGUGAUACAGCUGUCUGGGAGGGGCUACAGUGAGUCAGGAAUUUUUUUAUCUUUUUUUUGUUAUUUUGCUGACGUUGGCACUUUAUCUGCAACAACAAAGCAACCGUUUCCCAAAAACAGCUUGAGCAGGAAAGGGGUGGGAGUUAGUUACCAGUCUGUGUU